UCGCCCGCUGGCCCGACGUGGGAACAGUACCAUUAGUUGUGCUCCGCUCUUCAGAACCUGGCGACGCAGCAGAACGCCGGCGGCAGUCCGGACUGGAUUCUUGACACCAGCGCCUCUUCCCACGUGACUGGACCAAGCCACCCGCAAGAUCAUCAUGAGGUCCAAUACCCAUGGGGACCUCUAUCCAUUCUUCACCAACUCCGGCGUGCAAGCUCUUCUCACGGUGGUCGGCAGCGACUUGUGGCACCGACGCUUGGGGCAUCCUAGUGACAAGACAAUCUCCACUUUAGCUCGUUUUUUUCUUCCCACAUGUAAUAACAGCAUGUCACACACUACCUUAUGUACGGCAUGCCAAUUAGGCAAGCAGCCCCGGCUGCCUUUUUCCCAUUCCAAAUCAUUUACUACAGCACCGUUUCAGCUCAUACAUUGUGAUUUAUGGACCUCCCCUGUUUGUA